AAGAGUGCUGUAAGCUGACAAAGUGAUGGCUCAUUUGACGAGUUUCUUUAUCAGCAGUGACAGUGGUCCACAUGUUCAGCAUUUAUUUGAUGGCCCAUGUAAGGUACAAAUUUCUGAGUUGGGAUUUCAUAAGGAAUACCAGCCAUGGUCAUUUAACUCUCCAAAACGAGUUAAUUUACAAUGCCAUGGGACCUUCGUUCUCAAUGAGAAGUGAAAAUAGGAUUCCUUGCCUUCAUAAAUAUUUUUGCGCAGUCCACGAUUGGCUGCAAAUAGCUCAAUGCAAGCCAGUGAGAGAAGCCAAAAUGUGUUUGUUACAGCCAUUUCGAAAAGUAACUUGUAGUGGCAAGGGGCUUGUAGAUCUAGUGGUUAAGAUAAGAGCAG